AGAGUUGAUCCUGGCUCAGGACGAACGGCUGGCGGCGUGCUACACAUGCAAGUCGAGCGAUGAAGCUCCUUCGGGAAGUGGAUUAGCGGCGGACGGGUGAGUAACACGUGGGCAACCUGCCUCAAAGAGGGGAAUAGCCCUCCGAAAGGAGGAUUAAUACCGCAUAAAGUUAGAGUUUCGCAUGAAACUUUAGCCAAAGGAGUAAUCUGCUUUGAGAUGGGCCCGCGUCCCACUAGCUAGUUGGUAAGGUAAUGGCUUACCAAGGCAACGAUGGGUAGCCGACCUGAGGGGGUGAUCGGCCACAUUGGAACUGAGACACAGUCCAGACUCCUACGGGAGGCAGCAGUGGGGAAUAUUGCGCAAUGGGGGAAACCCUGACGCAGCAACGCCGCGUGGGUGAUGAAGGUUUUCGGAUCGUAAAACCCUGUUUUCUGGGACGAUAAUGACGGUACCAGAUGAGGAAGCCACGGCUAACUACGUG
rnacentral:rRNA from 1 species